UAAUACGUAGGUGGCAAGCGUUGUCCGGAUUUACUGGGCGUAAAGCGUGUGUAGGCGGACUUUUAAGUAAGAAGUGAAAGGUUGGUGCUCAACACUAACACUGCUCCUUAUACUGGAAGUCUUGAGGGCCGGAGAGGAAAGCGGAACGAGUCGUGUAGCGGUGAAAUGCGUUGAUAUGACUCGGAACACCAAUUGCGAAGGCAGCUUUCUGGACGGUAAGCAAUUUUAAAUCUGACGCUGAGACACGAAAGCCGAGGGAGCGAACAGGAUUAGAUACCCUGGUAGUCUCGGCCCUAAACGAUGUUCACUAGGUGUUGGGGGGUAACCUUCAGUGCCGCAGCUAACGCAUUAAGUGAACCGCCUGGGGACUACGGCCGCAAGGUUG
rnacentral:rRNA from 1 species